rnacentral:rRNA from 1 species
GAUGAACGCUGGCGGCGUGCCUAAUACAUGCAAGUCGAGCGAACAGACGAGGAGCUUGCUCCUCUGACGUUAGCGGCGGACGGGUGAGUAACACGUGGAUAACCUACCUAUAAGACUGGGAUAACUUCGGGAAACCGGAGCUAAUACCGGAUAAUAUAUUGAACCGCAUGGUUCAAUAGUGAAAGACGGUUUUGCUGUCACUUAUAGAUGGAUCCGCGCCGCAUUAGCUAGUUGGUAAGGUAACGGCUUACCGAGGCAACGAUGCGUAGCCGACCUGAGAGGGUGAUCGGCCACACUGGAACUGAGACACGGUCCAGACUCCUACGGGAGGCAGCAGUAGGGAAUCUUCCGCAAUGGGUGAAAGCCUGAUGGAGCAACGCCGCGUGAGUGAUGAAGGUCUUCGGAUCGUAAAACUCUGUUAUUAGGGAAGAACAAAUGUGUAAGUAACUAUGCACGUCUUGACGGUACCUAAUCAGAAAGCCACGGCUAACUACGUG